AGCGUAGGCGGACAUUUAAGUCAGGGGUGAAAUCCCGGGGCUCAACCUCGGAAUUGCCCUUGAUACUGGGUGUCUUGAGUAUGAGAGAGGUGUGUGGAACUCCGAGUGUAGAGGUGAGAUUCGUAGAUAUUCGGAAGAACACCAGUGGCGAAGGCGACACACUGGCUCAUUACUGACGCUGAGGCACGAAAGCGUGGGGAGCAAACA
rnacentral:rRNA from 1 species